GGGGGGAUAGCUCAGUGGUAGAGCACAUGCUUAGCAUGCAUGAGGUCCUGAGUUCAAUCCCCAGUAUCUCCU
rnacentral:tRNA from 1 species